ACAUGUAGAGUGGCAACGCCAAGUGGCAGACCGAUCGUGAAAAAACAUUCCACAGUAGCGGCGCAAAAAACAUCAGAGAGAGGAAUCAAAAUCAAAUAAAAUUUGCUUUCGUACGGUACACAUUUUUGUUUGACAAAAAAGGAAUAAGCGACAACAAGAUGAGCGGAAAGGCUGACAUUGCACUCAUUGGGCUGGCCGUGAUGGGCCAGAAUCUCAUAUUGAACAUGGACGAGAAGGGGUUUGUGGUGUGCGCCUACAACCGCACGGUGGCCAAGGUCAAAGACUUUCUCGCCAACGAGGCCAAAGGCACAAAUGUGAUUGGCGCUGAUUCACUGAAGGACAUGGUGGCGAAACUGAAAACGCCGCGCAAAAUUAUGCUGUUGGUCAAGGCCGGCAGCGCCGUCGACGACUUCAUUGAGCAACUGCUGCCGCUGCUCUCCCGCGGCGAUGUGAUCAUUGAUGGCGGCAACUCAGAGUACCAGGACACGUCGCGUCGCUGCGCCGAGCUGGAGAAGCUGGGCCUGCUCUUUGUGGGCUCCGGCGUUAGCGGUGGUGAGGAGGGUGCCCGGCACGGACCCAGCUUGAUGCCCGGCGGCCAUGAGGCUGCCUGGCCCCUGAUCAAGCCCAUCUUCCAGGCCAUCUGCGCCAAGGCCGAUGGCGAGCCCUGCUGCGAAUGGGUCGGCGACGGGGGCGCUGGACACUUUGUCAAGAUGGUGCACAAUGGCAUCGAGUACGGAGACAUGCAGUUGAUCUGUGAGGCCUACCACAUAAUGCAGAGCCUGGGUCUGUCCGCUACCCAGAUGGCCGAUGAGUUCGGCAAGUGGAACUCGGCCGAGCUGGACUCUUUCCUCAUCGAGAUCACGCGCGACAUUCUCAAGUACAAGGACAGCAAGGGGCAUCUGCUGGAGCGGAUUCGUGAUACGGCCGGCCAGAAGGGUACGGGCAAGUGGACGGCCAUCGCCGCCCUGCAGUACGGCGUUCCCGUGACGCUCAUCGGUGAGGCAGUCUUCUCCCGCUGCCUGUCCGCCCUCAAGCAGGAGCGCGUCCAUGCCAGCGGCGUGCUCAAGGGUCCCUCAGCGAAGCCGAGCGUGGCGAAUGUGACCAAGUUCCUGGACGACAUCAAGCACGCCCUGUACUGCGCCAAGAUUGUUAGCUACGCACAGGGAUUCAUGCUGAUGCGCGAGGCGGCCAAGGAGAACAACUGGCGGCUGAACUACGGCGGCAUUGCACUGAUGUGGCGCGGCGGCUGCAUCAUACGCAGCGUCUUUCUGGGCAACAUCAAGGACGCCUACACAUCGCAGCCGCAGCUGUCCAACCUGCUGCUGGACGACUUCUUCAAGAAGGCCAUCGAGCGGGGACAGGACUCGUGGCGCGAGGUGGUGGCCAAUGCCUUCCGCUGGGGCAUCCCCGUGCCAGCGCUCUCCACCGCCCUGAGCUUCUACGAUGGCUAUCGCACCGCCAAGCUGCCGGCCAAUCUGCUGCAGGCGCAGCGCGACUACUUUGGUGCUCACACCUACGAGCUGCUCGGCGACGAGGGCAAGUUCCAUCACACCAACUGGACGGGCACUGGCGGCAAUGUCUCCGCCAGCACAUACCAGGCAUAGCCUGUGGCACCCCUCUCACACACAAACACACACAUACACACACGCACACGCACAGACAACACAACACGCAUUCCAUGUCAUAAGGUAAAUAGUUGGAUGUCCCUCCGUUGGGGAGCUGUAACAAAAGAUUACAAUUGUUUUUUUUUAUAGGGUAGCAGUACCUAUUUAUAACGUUACUAUAUAUAUAUGCAUCAAACGAUAGCGAUUCCUUCACUUCACUGGUGGUUCAAAAAUAAGGCCUACAUAUGUAACUUGACUUCCAUAAGAUCAACAAUGGGCAAAAAGCUUUAUCCAACUAGAA